UACGGAGGGGGUUAGCGUUGUUCGGAAUUACUGGGCGUAAAGCGCGCGUAGGCGGAUGCUUAAGUCGGUGGUGAAAUCCUGGGGCUCAACCUCAGAAUUGCCUUCGAUACUGGGUGUCUCGAGUGUGGAAGAGGUGAGUGGAAUUCCCAGUGUAGAGGUGAAAUUCGUAGAUAUUGGGAAGAACACCGGUGGCGAAGGCGGCUCACUGGUCCACAACUGACGCUGAGGUGCGAAAGCGUGGGGAGCAAACAGG
rnacentral:rRNA from 1 species